UUUGUUUUGAAGCUCCAACUAAAAGAAACGGUUAUGGUACUAAAUCUCGCCUACACCAACUCCCCAUUCUCCGUCGCCGGCGGACGGUUACUGUUACGGUGACUGAUCCCAUUGCAUAAAUUCUCUCCUAAUUAUCGCCAUUAAUUCUCCGAAACCCACUCUCACUCAACAUCUUUCUCUCUCUUUUUCCACUUAUUAUUGUUGUAGAUUCUUCCUUUUUCUUUCUUCUUAUAGCUGGCGUUGGAACAUCAUCGCUCUUGUUCAUGACGGAAUCUUUGAAAUUUUGUUAGGGUUUCUGGAAUGGGCGGUGAGUUCGUCUCUGAAUUUCAGCAAUGGUAGCUGCUGUAUCAACGACGCUAAACCCCAAGACUGCCCCCCAGAAAGGGCCUCAUCUUCAUCCUACACGACAGAAUUCGAAUAGACUUCCGUUAUUUCCAUCGGAGUCCGACAAUGCAAUUGAUCCCCGCAAGCCGAAAUCACGAGAGGUCACUUCUCGAUUUAUGCCUCCAUCCAAUUCCUCUGCCUCGGCCUUGCUUACGAAACGCUCUUCUUCUCCUUCAGUCUCUAGAACUUCCAGUUUAGCUCCAACGCCGACGCAGGCUGCUUCGUCCCUUAAUAAGCGUUCGGUAUCGGUGGACCGAAGAAGGGUUGGGAGUCCUAGGCCUUAUUCUCUUGAUUUCAGGACUGGCAAUGAUAAUGGUGGAGUGGGCGAGAUGCCUGCCUCUCAGAAGUUAUUGCUUACUUCUACAAGAAGCUUAUCUGUUUCAUUCCAGGGUGAGUCUUUCUCUUUGCAAGUUAGUAAGGCGAAGCCAGUUCCUUCACGAGGUGUGAGGAAGGGUACGCCUGAACGCAGGAAGUCGACGACGCCAGCGAGAGCAGGCGGUGUCGCGGAAAAAGCAGAGAACUCGAAGCUUAUUAUAGAUCAACAUAGAUGGCCCUCAAGGUUGCGGCAGGCUAAUUUGAUGAGCAGGAGUUUGGAUUGUGAGGACAUAGCCGAGAGGAAGAGGGUUAGUGGUGGAUCUGUGAAUGUCAUUAGGCAGUUGCAAGAUUCUAAGGCUCAGGGGAGGGGUUCCUUUGAUAGGGUUUUGAACUUGGAUUCUGUAAAUAGGGGAUUGGAGAAGGGGGAUGAACUCGAUAUGGACGCAAAUUCAGAAAACAUAUCUGAUCGUUCUAAUGUAGUUUCGUCUGAUUCUGAUAGCGUCUCUUCAGGUAGCAGUUCUGGAACUCAAGAGUACAGUCCUAACGAAGGACAAGGGCAGCGUGGACCUCGAGGGAUUGUAGUGCCGGCAAGAUUUUGGCAGGAGACAAACAACCGGUUGCGGCGCCAGCCGGAAAAUGGCUCGCCGUUGUCCAAAAAUAUCGGGGUAAGAAUUUUAGCUCCUUCCAAGCUUACCGUGCCAAAGAAGUUUCAAAUGGAUAGUCCUGCAUCAUCUCCACGGGAAGUUGUUAACAGUAGAGGCCAAUUGUCUCCCAUUCGCGGUUCACUUCGCCCUAUGUCACCAAGUAGGCUUUUAGCAUCGUCCACAGGACCUCGGUUGAGGAAUGCUGUGGGGAGUACCCCUCUUAAUAGUUUGAACAACAUUCCAUUAUCAAUGACAAGUUUUGUUGCCGAUGCUCGAAGGGGAAAGAUUGCGGAGAACCGAAUUGUAGAUGCACAUUCAUUGAGGCUCUUACAUAACCGGCUAUUGCAAUGGCGUUUUGUCAAUGCCCGAGCAGAUGCUGCUCAAUCCGGCCUCAGUUUGAAUGCAGAGAGAAGCCUUUAUAAUGCUUGGCUGAGUACCUCGAAGCUGCGUGAAUCUGUUAGAACAAAAAGAUCGGAGUUACAGUUACUCAAGCAAAAACUAACGUUAACCUCCAUCCUCAGCUGGCAAAUGUUGCAUUUGGAAGAAUGGGAUGAACUGGAUAAAAACUUUUCCAACAGUUUAUCAGGUGUUACUGAAGCUUUGAGGGCUAGUACCCUUCGCUUGCCAGUUGUUGGGGCAGCAAAGGCGGAUGUCCAAGGUAUUAAGGACGCAAUUUCUUCUGCCGUUGAUGUGCUGCAGACAAUGGCAUCAUCAAUUUUCUUUCUAUUAUCAAAGGUUGGAAAGGUAAACUCUCUUGUUUCUGAGCUUGCGAAUGUGAGUGCAAAGGAAUGUGCUUUGCUUGAGCGGGUAAAAUAUCUGUUGUCUGCAAUUGCUGUACUACAGGUGAAAGAGUGUAGUCUGCGAACGCAAAUUUUACAGCGGAGAUACGUACUUUCAACCUGACAACUUACACGUAAAAGCUGUUCACUGUCACAAAGCUAACCUUAUAGUAGAAGAUUAAACUCUUUGUUUUUUCCGGAGGCAAUAAGGACAUCUGGAUGCUUGUGGUUUUCUGAAGCAGAAGAGUGUCCACAUAUUUGAUUUGGCUUUUGUUUGUUUACAGGAAAAUUGAAAGAAGAAAGACGAAAAGGAAGAUGUGAACAAAGAUGGUGUGUGGCGUAUGGCUUUGGGCUGACAAGGAAGUGAAGGAGAUGGGCUUGGUUGGGCAAAUGGGAGGCCCCAUCUGAAGGAGAUUCCAUUGAUUCAAUUCAAGUACAUUGAUGACUCAGGUCUCCAUUCUUAGCCAAAUAAUUAUUCACACGCACGCAGAUAUAAUGGAAGAAUCUUUAGAUACCCUUAUGCCUUUAUCAUUUUUCAUCAUUCCGAUUUUGUCCUUCAUCACAACUAUUCGCGUUGAAGUGGUUACAGUCGAAGUGGUGUAUUCUUUAGUGUAUAACUGUGUUUUAGACCAUAAUGACAUAUCAUGUUCUAUAGGUACAUGUUUGAAUGAAAAAUUACAUCAAUUCUCCGUUACAACUAUUUAGGUC